CCUACGGGAGGCAGCAGUAAGGAAUAUUGGUCAAUGGGCGCAAGCCUGAACCAGCCAUGCCGCGUGCAGGAAGACGGCCCUAUGGGUUGUAAACUGCUUUUGAACAAGAGAAAACCUCGGUACGUGUACCGAGCUGAUAGUAUUGUUAGAAUAAGCAUCGGCUAACUUCGUGCCAGCAGCCGCGGUAAGACGAAGGAUGCAAGCGUUAUCCGGAUUCAUUGGGUUUAAAGGGUGCGUAGGCGGCCUGAUAAGUCAGUGGUGAAAUCUCUCAGCUUAACUGAGAAACUGCCAUUGAUACUGUCGGGCUUGAGUACAGAUGAUGUGGGCGGAAUAUGACAUGUAGUGGUGAAAUACUUAGAUAUGUCAUAGAACACCGAUUGCGAAGGCAGCUCACAAAACUGUAACUGACGCUGAGGCACGAAAGUGCGGGGAUCAAACAGGAUUAGAUACCCUGGUAGUCCGCACCGUAAACGAUGAUUACUCGUUGUUGGCAAUAUGACCGUCAGCGACCAAGCGAAAGCGAUAAGAAUCCACCUGGGAGUACGCGGCAACGGUGAAACUCAAAUGAAAUUGACGGCGNGAGGAGNGCGAGGACGACACGAGGGGAGGAGG
rnacentral:rRNA from 1 species